AUCUGAGUUUAUAUUGAGGAGCACGAUAAAUGCACCGUCUUCCAUAAAACAGCGUAAAUAAACAGUUCAGCAACGAACAGAUGUUGCGCUUCGACAUUUUAUGCUCAACAUGGCGAGAUUUUUUUUCUCUCAAUUUUCAGUCGAAGUUUUUUUUGUUGCUGUUGUGAUGUUGUUACCUUUUGUGUGUUUUAAUUUUACGCUUGAGCCUGACUUGCUUCUUUUCGUUUUACCCUGAUUGUUGGAUGGAAUUGGACGAAUCAAACUUUUCGACGUGAUUCAAACCAUUGUGCACGGUUUACACACACUGAAUUUGUUGGAAUAUUGUGUUUCUCAAACUAAAUCAUUCGAUACGCAUCAUUUUCCGAUCGCAUCAACUCUUUUCUAACUCUCGAUGUCGUUAGCGACAGUCGCGACACUGAGAACAUGAUACACAUCAAGGGUUCAAUAACUUGCUGUAUGAAGCUGAUAUAAAGUCAUCAGCGAGAUAGAGAGAGAAAGAAGGAAAAGAGAUACAAAUAUCGUUUAAAAUAUCCAUCGGUUGGCUGAUGAUUAAAAAAAAAACUACAAUACACACAUACAAAUGAAACAAAAUCUAUUUAACGCAUGCAUCAAAUGAGCGAACAUGUUAAACAAAUGAAUAAAUAGACUGGAAAAUGAAUACGAAAUAAAAAUGCUAUCGAAUGUAUAUGCCCAUUUGCUUAAAAU